rnacentral:rRNA from 1 species
GAAUAUUGGACAAUGGGGGCAACCCUGAUCCAGCCAUGCCGCGUGUGUGAAGAAGGCUUUCGGGUUGUAAACCACUUUCAGCGAGGAGGAAGGCCUUAAAGUUAAUACCUUUGAGGAUUGACGUUACUCGCAGAAGAAGCACCGGCUAACUCCGUGCCAGCCGCCGCGGUAAUACGGAGGGUGCAAGCGUUAAUCGGAAUUACUGGGCGUAAAGCGCGCGUAGGUGGUUUGAUAAGCGAGAUGUGAAAGCCCCGGGCUUAACCUGGGAACGGCAUUUCGAACUGUCAGACUAGAGUGUGGUAGAGGGUAGUGGAAUUUCCUGUGUAGCGGUGAAAUGCGUAGAUAUAGGAAGGAACACCAGUGGCGAAGGCGGCUACCUGGACCAACACUGACACUGAGGUGCGAAAGCGUGGGGAGCAAACAGG